rnacentral:rRNA from 1 species
ACUCCUACGGGAGGCAGCAGUGGGGAAUAUUGCACAAUGGGCGCAAGCCUGAUGCAGCCAUGCCGCGUGUAUGAAGAAGGCCUUCGGGUUGUAAAGUACUUUCAGCAGUGAGGAAGGUGGGAGUUCAGUUAAUAGCGGCUCAUUUGACGUUAGCUGCAGAAGAAGCACCGGCUAACUCCGUGCCAGCAGCCGCGGUAAUACGGAGGGUGCGAGCGUUAAUCGGAAUUACUGGGCGUAAAGCGCAUGCAGGUGGUUUGUUAAGUCAGAUGUGAAAGCCCGGGGCUCAACCUCGGAAUUGCAUUUGAAACUGGCAAGACUAGAGUACUGUAGAGGGGGGUAGAAUUUCAGGUGUAGCGGUGAAAUGCGUAGAGAUCUGAAGGAAUACCGGUGGCGAAGGCGGCCCCCUGGACAGAUACUGACACUCAGAUGCGAAAGCGUGGGGAGCAAACAGGAUUAGAU